CGAACGUUGGCGGCGUGCUUAACACAUGCAAGUCGAACGAGAAAGUUCCUUCGGGGACGAGUAAAGUGGCGCACGGGUGAGUAACGCGUAGAUAAUCUGUCCAGGUGUUCGGGAUAGCCCUUCGAAAGGGGGAUUAAUACCGAAUACGUCAGUCUUUCAUAAGGAUGACUGAGAAAGGUGGCCUCUAUUUAUAAGCUAUCGCAUUUGGAGGAGUCUGCGUACCAUUAGUUUGUUGGUGGGGUAAUGGCCUACCAAGACUUCGAUGGUUAGCGGGUCUGAGAGGAUGAUCCGUCACACUGGCACUGAAACACGGGCCAGACUCCUACGGGAGGCAGCAGUGAGGAAUAUUGCGCAAUGGGGGAAACCCUGACGCAGCGACGCCGCGUGGGUGAGGAAGGCUUUCGGGUCGUAAAGCCCUGUCAGGUGGGAAGAAAUGGUUAAUGGAUAAUACCUGUUAGCUUUGACGGUACCACCAAAGGAAGCACCGGCUAACUCC
rnacentral:rRNA from 1 species